rnacentral:rRNA from 1 species
UACGAAGGGGGCUAGCGCUGUUCGGAAUCACUGGGCGUAAAGCGCUCGUAGGCGGAUCUUUAAGUCAGGGGUGAAAUCCCGAGGCUCAACCUCGGAACUGCCUUUGAUACUGGGGAUCUCGAGUCCGGGAGAGGUGAGUGGAACUGCGAGUGUAGAGGUGAAAUUCGUAGAUAUUCGCAAGAACACCAGUGGCGAAGGCGGCUCACCGGCCCGGUACUGACGCUGAGGAGCGAAAGCGUGGGGAGCAAACAGG